UACGUAGGGACCGAGCGUUGUCCGGAUUCAUUGGGCGUAAAGAGCUCGUAGGCGGCCACUCAAGUCGAAUGUGAAACCUCGAGGCUUAACCUCGAGCCUGCAUUCGAUACUGGGCGGCUAGAGUCUGGUAGGGGGAUCUGGAAUUCCUGGUGUAGCGGUGGAAUGCGCAGAUAUCAGGAGGAACAGCCGGUGGCGAAGGCGGGAUCCUGGGCCAGUACUGACGCUGAGGAGCGAAAGCGUGGGGAGCAAACAGG
rnacentral:rRNA from 1 species